AGCUAGUUGGUAAGGUAAUGGCUUACCAAGGCUAUGACGUCUAGAGGAGCUGAGAGGCUGACCCUCACCGAUGGGACUGAGACACGGCCCAUACACCUACGGGUGGCUGCAGUCGAGAAUUUUCCACAAUGGACGAAAGUCUGAUGGAGCGACGCCGCGUGGUUGAUGAAGUACUUAGGUAUGUAAAAACCUUUUAUGAGGGAAAAAGUUUAUUGAUUGUACCUCAUGAAUAAGGGGUUGCUAAACUCGUGCCAGCAGCAGCGGUAAUACGAGUGCCCCGAGCGUUAUCCGGAAUUAUUGGGCGUAAAGGGUGAGUAGGUGGUUAUAUUAGUCUUGUGUUAAAGCCUUCGGCUCAACCGAAGAUAUGCAUAGGAAACGGUAUAACUAGAGUAUGUGAGAGGUGUGUAGAACUCAUGGAGUAGGGGUGAAAUCCGUUGAUACUAUGGGGAAUACCAAAAGCGUAGGCAGCACACUGGCACAUUACUGACACUGAAUCACGAAAGCGUGGGUAGCGAAUGGGAUUAGAUACCCCAGUAGUCCACGCCCUAAACGAUGUACUCUAGUUUUGUGGGGAAUCGACCCCCUGCGAGACUAAGCUAACGCGAUAAGAGUACCGCCUGGGUAGUACGACCGCAAGGUUAAAACUCAAAGGAAUAGACGGGGACUUGCACAAGCGGUGAAUUAUGUGGUUUAAU
rnacentral:rRNA from 1 species